UACGGAGGGGGCUAGCGUUAUUCGGAAUUACUGGGCGUAAAGCGCACGUAGGCGGCUUUGUAAGUUAGAGGUGAAAGCCUGGAGCUCAACUCCAGAAUUGCCUUUAAGACUGCAUGGCUUGAAUCCAGGAGAGGUGAGUGGAAUUCCGAGUGUAGAGGUGAAAUUCGUAGAUAUUCGGAAGAACACCAGUGGCGAAGGCGGCUCACUGGACCGGUAUUGACGCUGAGGUGCGAAAGCGUGGGGAGCAAACAGG
rnacentral:rRNA from 1 species